rnacentral:rRNA from 1 species
AGCAGUAGCCGCGGUAAUACCGAGGGUGCGAGCGUUAAUCGGAUUUACUGGGCGUAAAGCGUGCGUAGGCGGCUUCUUAAGUCGGAUGUGAAAUCCCUGAGCUUAACUUAGGAAUUUCAUUCGAUACUGGGAAGCUAGAGUAUGGGAGAGGAUGGUAGAAUUCCAGGUGUAGCGGUGAAAUGCGUAGAGAUCUGGAGGAAUACCGAUGGCGAAGGCAGCCAUCUGGCCUAAUACUGACGCUGAGGUACGAAAGCAUGGGGAGCAAACAGGAUUAGAUACCCCCGUAGUCCUGUCUCUUAUACA